UCCUGAGUAGCUCAGCUGGUAAAGCAUCUGCCUGCAAAGCAAGAGACCCCGGUUCAAUUCCUGGGUCUGGAA
rnacentral:tRNA from 1 species